CUACAUUUGUGUGAAUGGUGUUCAGCACCAAGGACAGGUAUGUUUGCCUGUGUGUGGCUGGUGUUUAGCACUAGGAACAUGUGUGUUUACCU
rnacentral:pre_miRNA from 1 species